GCAUCGACCGGCGCAGGCAGGCACUCCCCAACCCAAGACUCGGCACCGAGUCAUGCAAUCGGGUUCCAAUGGACUCGGCGGAAUAGACGACCCAUAGAGCCCCCUUACCGCAGACGCCGCCGACGCUGGGGAUCGCCGCCUCGCCGUCUCGCCGCCACCUUCGCCCGCCCGACCUCAAGGACGACCUAGGUUAACUCGCCAAGGGCGAGUCCCUUCUCAAGUGCCUGUUGAAGCUCGCGGGACUAGGCCACGGAGACCGCGACGAUAGAGGCGCACUCGUUCGCGGCCGGAACGGCCGCUUAAGUUUGACGUCGAGUCCGACACGUGUCCCUCAUCCACCGACGUCGGGACUGGCCAGACCUCCGCUCGAGGCGGCCUCCUCCUUACGAAGUGACGUGUGACCUUCCACUUAGACCUUCCGGGGCCGACCUACUUUUCCUAUCCUUUAGCCCUACCACAUAAUCAUUCAAUAAUUAAUCUUAUUCGCGCUUGAAUAGCGGACCUUCGAAGUGGUGCGAGAGAACGUGACGGAGUUCCUCAUGAUGCGACCUACCGUUGUGUCCUACCUCUAACCAGAUGGUAGAUGUAUCCUCCUAUGGCCCCGAACGUAGAACGUGUAACGUGUAACGCUCCGUAAUCCUGCCGUAUUUCGAGUUCUAGGGUGACUUUUUCAAAUGUCCCCUUGUGGAGGUGCGACCGCGUGCUCCGUGAGACCCGCCAUGACCGUGGAUGGCUAAGAACGAAGUCUAGCACGUAGAGUCGAAUCUGUGGUCGAGUACCGGACGAAUUUGUGCGGGGAUUAGACGCGGCGUCCCUCUAAGGGGGAAUAGUGACGGGGGUACCUCUAAGAUGGAAUCGUGACGAUGCUAGAAGAAAAGUUUUUCGUAAAUACACUUCUACAACACAAUAUCCGUGUUUUGGAUGGGAGGACAACGGAAGCUUAGUAGAAGCGUAAAAAGUACACACGAAAUAUUUCUAAACUCAUGAGAAAAGCUUGAAGGUAAACAAGUAUUGGGACG
rnacentral:rRNA from 1 species